rnacentral:rRNA from 1 species
UACAGAGGGGGCAAGCGUUGUUCGGAAUUACUGGGCGUAAAGAGCUCGUAGGUGGUUUGUCGCGUUGUUCGUGAAAACUCACAACUCAAUUGUGGGCGUGCGGGCGAUACGGGCAGACUGGAGUACUGCAGGGGAGACUGGAAUUCCUGGUGUAGCGGUGGAAUGCGCAGAUAUCAGGAGGAACACCGGUGGCGAAGGCGGGUCUCUGGGCAGUAACUGACGCUGAGGAGCGAAAGCGUGGGGAGCGAACAGG